UUAUAACCGAGACAAUCUGAUUUGACUUCAACCUCAACGUAAUUUGGCUCCACACCCUUUUUCGGCAGAGAAUCGUCAAAAUUACUAAAUUCCAAAUGGGGUGGGGCUUGGCAAGGACGCAUUGCCCGAAUAACGGCAGCCAUGGUGCAUCGUCGCAAGUGCAGAAAUCCGCUCCAUCAAAACAAGUUCUGUCAGCGUGCCCUCCCAUCAUAACGGCCGCAGUGAAGUCCACUUGUGGAGCAAGACGGAUGCUCGUUUCUGUCAUCAUUCUGAUCUUUUUGCUGGCCGCUAUAUAUUGGGUAUCUCUGCGCCAAACGAGCCCCACCGUACGUCGACCAAUGAGAAUUCAACCUUCGCGAAAUACCACGCCGGAGCAAACAGGGGAAACGGCUCAGAGAUAGAGGUAAUCAGCAUUGAAAGAAGAAAGAAAAAAAAAAAAAUCCGAAGUAACGAUCCAUAUGGACUUGCAUUUCCAGGCAAUACGCUGCACUGCAUUUCAUCGCCGGACACUGAUACUGUAUAUCAUAGUAGCAGCUGUGGUACAAUGUAUCGUAUAAAAAACAACCAAUCCUUUAAGUCUAAUAAGCUGUCUGAAAACCGAAGAAAUACAAUAAUAAAAUGUUUAUACUGACACGUA